rnacentral:sRNA from 1 species
CCUAUAGUAAAUGACAGUCCUGCCCUUG